GAGAUUUUCAUCUGUUGGAUGGUCAGUUGCUCCCACCCCAUCUGUAAUCAUAGCUACAGAUAAGACAUGAGACUACAGAGAUCUAGAUGCUGGUGAAAACCUCCAACCAUUCUUCAUCCUAGUAGACUGCAAAUAUCAACAUAUCAGAGAAUUCCCAGACAAGCUGGAAACAUUUUCAGCAUUUGUGAAAACAUCACUAAGGCCAGUAGGCAGUUGUAGAAAUCAGAAUCAAACCAGCCUGCUCCCUGUUAUGCAAGGGCUCAGAGAGAUGCCAGGGAAAGAAAGCUAAAACUGCGACGAAGAAGUGCCUCACACUGUAGCUCAGCCACACAGAACUAUGAUGACUUGAAGUUGCUGGUGCACCGGCAUUUUUAAAGGAACUAAUCAGGAUUUUACCACUUACCUACCUGCUUUCCCCUAAAAUAUUAACCCACAUUGUUACAAGGGAUAAAAACGUUACCACAGUUCUACUGAGAAGGCAUCUCUGAAAUAAACUCCACUACCUUUGAAGUAAAACCA
rnacentral:lncRNA from 1 species